rnacentral:rRNA from 1 species
CAGUAGCCGCGGGAAUACGUAGGGUGCAAGCGUUAAUCGGAAUUACUGGGCGUAAAGCGUGCGCAGGCGGUUAUAUAAGACAGAUGUGAAAUCCCCGGGCUCAACCUGGGAACUGCAUUUGUGACUGUAUAGCUAGAGUACGGCAGAGGGGGAUGGAAUUCCGCGUGUAGCAGUGAAAUGCGUAGAUAUGCGGAGGAACACCGAUGGCGAAGGCAGCCCCCUGGGCCAACACUGACGCUCAUGCACGAAAGCGUGGGGGGCAAACAGGAUUAGAUACCCCCGUAGUCCCUGUCUCUUAUAA